AAAACGGCCACUGCGCAAUGUCGUCAAGCCUAUUACGGUGCCGUUUUAAGAAAACCGGCAGUGUUGCCAUUAGCGGCGGAGUAACCAAAACCCUAAUCAGUGCCAAUCGAUGAAACCACCGUCACCACCUUCCCCGCUCCGAGAGCUUCUUCUCCGUUUAUCGACCGGAAUCGCGGAGACUCUGGCCACCGUUCUCCGUUUAUAACAUAGUCCGUUUGAAAGGAAGCUAAAUGAGAUGUUAAGUCACUUGGAGCGCCAGCCCAGAAACAAAGAGCGCUGCAUCACAUGGCUUAAAUCUGCUGAUUCACUAUUUAAUGGAGUUGAUCUUAUGCUUUUAGCUCACUUCAGGCGCAUUUUCCCAUUAUUUUUUCAGUGGAUGCAUGCUGAUAACAAUGAGAUUAUUAUUUUGGUUCUGAAAUGUACAUAUAUAAUUUUGAGACUGACGUGGAUAAGGAACUCAACGUUUGUUGCAAAGUUAAAAAAUUACCCUAUGCAAUUUUUAUUUCAGAUAAAUGUGGCAUUGAUGUGCUUGAGAAAUAGGGAAUCCUUUACUUGUUUGUGUCGUAUUUGUAUUAUAAUCACAAUAUUAUGAAAUCCUCUGAUGUGGCUUCUAAAAAAAUGAAAUCGUCUGCUGUAAAUAUUUUAUUGAUAUUAUCUCAUGAUUAAAUUUGAUUUGCUAUGAUAUUAUUUGAAGUCUGUAAGUUUCGUUUCAUUUUUAAGAUGUUUACAAAAACAGAUGGUCAAGAAAGGGAAUGAACAUUAGAAGAUGAGGCCAUGACUUACUGAUGUUUGAUAUUUAUUCCAUCAAGGAUUGAUGUUUGCUCUCAUAUUUUUCAACGGUCAUCAUCUUGGUCUCUCUCCAACUCUAGGGAAGGGAUGCCUUAGAAGUUAAUUUUACUGUCCAUCCAUUGAUAUACUAGAGAUUUAGACUACAUCUGCAUCCCUUUUCUUCAAAACCCAUUUUUAGGAAAAUUCCGAAGUUACAGAAAUCAAUCUUGGUUUCCCACUUACGUGGUGGAAUCCUGGGUCUGUGGAUAUAAACAUCUUUAUUUCUUAUCCUGUAUUUGCCUCGUUGAUAUAAUUCAUUUGUAGCACAUGGUUUGACUUCAGAUUGGUAGAUGAAGUUGCUCUUGUGUACAAGGAGGCAGCAUUAAGAACAGCCCGGGAAGAGAUUAGAGCAAAUAUAUGUCAGAUACUGAUCCUACUUCAAAAGUAAGGCUUUGUUUUUGGAUUAAUUUCUACAACUGAUAUAUUCAUUCCCUCAUAUAGUCCAUGUAUAUAUUCAAGAGCAAAUUGCAUGAACGAAAAAUAUAUUUAAAUCUUAUCUUUAGCAACAAACAAAUGUGAAUAGUGUUAAACAGUGGAUGUGUAGAUAUCCAAUUUUACAACUCUUUUUCCUCCAAGAAUAAAUGGCAACAAAGGAUUCAAUUUUCGCAACAUAGGUAAGCUGGAGAGAGACACCAGUCACUUAUUGCAACUAUUUCUGCAUCGUUGCUAGUACAAGAGGAACACCUUCAAUGAGGUUUAACGUGUGGGGAAAAAUUGUCUGCAUAUUAGAGUGAGAAAACUUUGGAUUCUGAUCACCAGCGUGCUAAUCAAAUUUGCCUUCUGGAAUUGCUGUGUGGGGAAAAACCAUGAAUGAUAGUGUCAACACGGACACAAUCCGAAUAAAAAACUAAAAAAAUAAAAGGUUCAAAGGUCAAACACAAUCCGCAAAAAA